GGGCAAUCAAGACAACAAA
rnacentral:misc_RNA from 1 species